UGUGGGAGCGAGCCUGCUCGCGAAGGCGUCAGCACAGUCUGUAUUUGAAUUGCCUGACACACCGCUUUCGCGAGCAGGCUCGCUCCCACA
rnacentral:antisense_RNA from 1 species